rnacentral:rRNA from 1 species
UACGGGGGGAGCAAGCGUUGUUCGGAUUUACUGGGCGUAAAGGGCGCGUAGGCGGCGUGACAAGUCACUUGUGAAAUCUCCGGGCUUAACUCGGAACGGUCAAGUGAUACUGUCGUGCUAGAGUACAGAAGGGGCAACUGGAAUUCUCGGUGUAGCGGUGAAAUGCGUAGAUAUCGAGAGGAACACCGGUGGCGAAGGCGACCUUCUGGGCCGCAACUGACGCUGAGGCAUGAAAGCCUGGGGAGCGAACGGG